GUGAGAUACACACACACACACACACACACAUUCUCAUCAACACCCAUAGAACAUCACAUCCGUGCCUAGUAGUGUUGCAUCAGAGGAGAGGAUGGAGAAGCACACGAUCCAGAUCGCUGUGCUGGCCCUGUUAUCUGUACACCUCCUAUGCUCCGCAACCAUAGCACAAUGCCGAACCAUUGCGGCUGGCAUGGACAACGACGAUAUCCAUGAAGAGGACAUCGUAUGUUGCCACAAAAAGUGCUCCUUCUUUCAUUGUUGUGCCUGUUGUACUUAUACUGACUGGUGCUACACAAGUUUCGAGAGGUGCAAUAGAAACUGCCUGGUUCCCUUAUCGCAUUCUGAUGAAGUGCUAGCCGCGACGCCGGUGACCCCCGAAACUGUGGCAACUAGGUCUGCAGUACGCACGGACGGCUUCAUGAGAGGCGUCAUCCCAGAAGAGUUCGGCAAUUGUCAUGUGUAGUAUAGCAUCGCGGCGGUGACCCCUGCUCCUUUACCCGCCUAGCCGAAUUUAUUUGCCUGUCCCUUAAGGCAUAUGUAAUGCGUGAUGUGUGAAGAAAUAAGUUUCCAAUACCCUA